rnacentral:rRNA from 1 species
UACGUAGGGUGCAAGCGUUGUCCGGAAUUAUUGGGCGUAAAGGGCUCGUAGGCGGUCCAUCGCGUCGGGAGUGAAAAGCUGGGGCUCAACCCCAGUCCUGCUUCCGAUACGGGUGGACUAGAGGUAGGUAGGGGAGAACGGAAUUCCUGGUGUAGCGGUGAAAUGCGCAGAUAUCAGGAGGAACACCAAUGGCGAAGGCAGCUCGCUGGGACGUGACUGACGCUGAGACGCGAAAGCGUGGGGAGCAAACAGG